CUAGUUAGGCACAGUGGUA
rnacentral:misc_RNA from 1 species